CUAACAAGGAUUCCCCUAGUAACGGCGAGUGAAGCGGGAAGAGCUCAAAUUUGAAAUCUGGCGGUCUCAGGCCGUCCGAGUUGUAGUCUCGAGAAGCGUUUUCCGCGCCGGACCGUGUACAAGUCCCUUGGAACAGGGCGUCAUAGAGGGUGAGAAUCCCGUCUUUGACACGGACUGCCGGUGCUUUGUGAUGCGCUCUCAAAGAGUCGAGUUGUUUGGGAAUGCAGCUCAAAAUGGGUGGUAAAUUCCAUCUAAAGCUAAAUAUGGGCGAAAGACCGAUAGCGAACAAGUACCGUGAGGGAAAGAUGAAAAGCACUUUGGAAAGAGAGUUAAACAGUACGUGAAAUUGUUGAAAGGGAAACGCUUGAAGUCAGUCGCGUCUUCCGGGACUCAGCCUAGCCUUUUGGUUAGGUGCACUUCCCGGGGUGACGGGCCAGCAUCGAUUUCGACCGUUGGAGAAAGGCCUUGGGAACGUGGCACCUUCGGGUGUGUUAUAGCCCUCGGUCGUAUGCAACGGUUGGGAUCGAGGAUCGCAGCGCGCCUUUUGGCCGGGGUUCGCCCACGUAACGCGCUUA
rnacentral:rRNA from 2 species